GAUCAGGGUGAUAUCUACCAGCCAAGGCACGCCAAAAGCUUCCCAGCAAACCAGCAGGAGCUGGGGCACAGGCAGGUACAGAUUCUCCCUUCCAGCCUCAGGAGGAACCAGCCCCCCCCUACACCCUGAUCUCAGACUUCCACCUUCUCCAACAGGGAGAUGAUGCAUUCCCGUUGUUGAAGGCCCCUAGCUUGUGUUUCUUCUUUCCAGCAGCCCUAACUAAGGAGUGGAGACGAGAAAGCUUCUUUUAUUGAGCAUCUGAGAACAUUCUCGAUAGGCACCUCUCAGCCUUCAUCCUGGAAGAAACACGCAUGUCUUUCAGCGAAUGGACGGUGGCACCAGACAGAACGGAGUCGGAAUCCUGCUUUGGUGACUGCUUCUGCGCGAUGAGCAUUUGAGCCGCCCAGGUGACCUCACGGAGCUCUGUCUUGGGACGCCCAGUGUCUGCUUCAUAGCCUGACCGGGAGGGUGAGGAUCGUCUAUGUGAAUCACCGGAUAGCACUGCCCCUGCAUCAGAAUGCACUUGACAUGAUACCACCAUUCCCUUUCCUUAGCUCUCUGCCUCUUCCUAUUUUGCGUUUCUUGUUAUUCCUGCGGUCUCCCCAGGUAGGAACUAAUCACAUGUUGAGGCAUCCGGAGACUGUUGUCCUGAACUCGCCGCAUCUCAUGAAACACUCGGAGUAUGUUUCUCCCUCCUUUUUUUUCAUGCUUCAGUUGGGUUUCUGGCAGACUCACAGCAGCCUUCAGCCAGGAGGCCGAUUCCCCGCGUUGACGUGGGCGCCAUCUCCUGGUCAUCUGAGGAAGGUGGUAUGUGUGAGGGAAACGCAUGCACCGGGCACCCUCUUGGAUGCCACCGCCUUCUCUCUUGAGGACAAAGCCCUUCCAACAAAGCAACAUGUAGAUGCUUGGGAACCACGGAGCAGACCCUUUUCCCUGCAAAGCACCAUGGAGAAUCCUUUCCAAGAGGAAGGGACGACUGCGGUGAGAGCAGACAAACAGGGCAAGGGUGCAUGCAGAGAGGAACUGCCUCUGACCGGCCCCACUUGUCUUGCCUUCUCUCUUAGUUUCCGUUCUAGACAUUGAAAGCAAGAGUCAGCAGAUGCCUGCCCGGCUGGCCACCUCCUCUGUAGAUAAAGCUGUAUUCACACACGACAGCCACAGCUAUCUGUCUGCAUGUGGUGUCCUGCGAUGCCGUCCCAAGUGACAUCAUCACACUCCGCGAUUGUUUUGGCAGGGGACGGGAAGCCGGGUACCGCCCCUGGAGGAUAAAAUCCUUACCUCCGAGACUGUGCCCCCUCCGGCUAUAGAUCAGCGCAUCCACACCCUGGGGUCAGUUCUUAUCUAUUCACAUGGAAACUUCGCUUUGCUUCUCCAGCCCGGGGCCUGUCUUCUGAGCUCCAGAACCAUCCAAACAUUAGACUGCCUACUCAGCGUCACCUCUGGAAUUUUGCAAACUCGACAUACUUAAAACCAUUUUCAUGGUUUUUUUCCCUUCCUUUCGUGCCCCCCGCCAGCCCCCUUCUCAUGCCUUGCACACUAAACCCGUGUUCCCUAUUUCACCAGGAAGUGGCACAAGCCAAGAAACCGAGUAGGCUUCCCCACGCUGUCUUACAGCCACAUGUUCUUUUUAUUAUUAUUAUUAUUAAAUAUAAUUUAUUGUCAAA